GAUGAAGAACGUAGCGAAAUGCGAUACGUAAUGUGAAUUGCAGAAUUCAGUGAAUCAUCGAGUCUUUGAACGCACAUUGCGCCCCCUGGUAUUCCGGGGGGCAUGCCUGUCCGAGCGUCAUUGCUGCCCUCAAGCACGGCUUGUGUGUUGGGCCUCCUCCUCCUCCCGGGGGACGGGCCCGAAAGGCAGCGGCGGCACCGCGUCCGGUCCUCGAGCGUAUGGGGCUUCGUCACCCGCUCUUGUAGGCCCGGCCGGCGCUUGCCGACACAUCAAUCUUUUUUCCAGGUUGACCUCGGAUCAGGUAGGGGUACCCGCUGAACUUAAGCAUAUCAAUAAGCGGAGGA
rnacentral:misc_RNA from 1 species